GUGAAAAGCGACACACAGAGGCAGCAGUACCAGUAUGAGGGGAGCCUAACCAGCAUGAGGGAGGCAGACAUCUCCCAGCCCGCCUGCUAGGCUGCCUGUUUUGUGUUUAUGUUGUCUGCUGUGUGGGGAGCAGUGCCCACCUCCUACCGACUCGACGUGCGAGCUGCAGCCGAACGAGAACAGCCAGAGGCGGCGUCGUCAUACCCGCGAGUGUCGGGGAUUCAAAGGCCGCCGCGGUCCGAUGAAACAGAAACACUUUCUCCCGCCGUUUGAUCUUCCGCCGCUCGACCCCCCCACGGAGCGGGUCGCCCGGGGGUUUAAGACCCCUCAGUGGGACGCCAGCUUAAUCGAUUUGACUGCUGCCCCCUUCGUGAAGGGGUGGCUCGGGGAAAAGGUGCUAAUUAUGCGGAGCAAUUAGCUGGUGACCCACUUCCUCUGGCUCUGGUGGUAACGGGCCGCCGCGCGCCGGGAAUCAAACGCCCCCCCGUCGAGCCGACAGAGCGCGAUCGCGUGGAGGAGAUCCCCGGGUGACUUUGAUUCACCGACAUCGGCUGCUUAGACUCCCAGGGAAACUUCCAUGAGCCUGACUCACUCCAUCGUCGUAGAUGGUCUUGGAUAAAAUAUCUUAAUUAAUCAAAUCUAAACGUGUUGAUUUGUUUUCCGACCCCUGAUUCUACUGAUCAGAUAUAAACCCAGGUUUCGAUCCUCGCCGUGGAUCAAUAGCCUACCUGGUGUUCCCGGGAGCCGACUAGCCACAACUUUCGACCGGGGUGAAUGAAGUCUGUCGCACAUGAAAUGUAACCCUGUCAUCACCCCGGGGUAUCACAGCUCAGGGUGAGACCCCUGGUACCACGACUCAGUGCCCAGGCCCGUUAACACGACCCCCGGUACCACGACCCCCAGUACCACGGCCCGGUACCACGACACCCGGUACCGCGACCUGGUACCACGACCCGGCCCGGUACCGCGACCUGGUACCACGACCCGGCCCGGUACCACGACCCGCGGUACCGAGACCCGGUCCACGGUCCAGUGCGGGACCAGACCCGGUCCAAUACAGGACCAGACGCCGCGGGGCAGCGGUCCCCCAGAGGGAGAUCAGUCCGGCUGACAGUGGGAGACGACGUGAGGCUGCAGAGACCAGAGAGGACCAGCGACCAGAGAGGACCAGCGUCCAGAGACCGUUAUGGCUUCAAGUUUGCUCUAACGCCUCGGCAGACGGGGAGUUAAACACGCAGAGCGAUCCUAUUUCCAGUCGGCCUACCGGGGAUUUUAACAGAGGUUUUGCUUCAAGGAAGACGGAUUUCCCGGUAACUUUGUGCCCGAUGCUCCGUGGUCCACCUCCUGCCCCACCGCCCGGGCCUGACAACUGGGGGCAGUGAGGCCACGGGGACACCAGUCCCCCCCCCCCC
ensembl:lncRNA